GGGGGGGGGGGGGGGGGGGCGGGGGGGGGGGGGGGCGGGCGGGGGCGGGGGGGUGGGCCUGGCGGGGGGUGGCGAGCGGGGGGGUGGUACAUCGGAGCGUGCCCCGUCGGGGGGGAUGGCUCGGCGAAAGCCGGAUUAAUACCGCAUGCGACCUGAGGGGGAACGCGGGGGGUCUUCGGACCUCGCGCUAUUGGAGCGGCCGAUGGCAGAUUAGCUAGUUGGUGGGGUAAAGGCCUACCAAGGCGACGAUCUGUAGCUGGUCUGAGAGGACGACCAGCCACACGGGGACUGAGACACGGCCCAGACUCCUACGGGAGGCAGCAGUGGGGAAUUGUGGACAAUGGGCGAAAGCCUGAUCCAGCAAUGCCGCGUGUGUGAUGAAGGCCUUCGGGUUGUAAAGCACUUUUGGCGGGAACGAAAAGGACUGUGCCAAUACCACGGUUCGAUGACGGUACCCGCAGAAUAAGCACCGGCUAACUACGUG
rnacentral:rRNA from 1 species